rnacentral:lncRNA from 1 species
ACACACACACACACACACACACACACACACACACACACAAAAAGGAAAGGAACGUCAAACUUGUCCGCGCAUGAAUUCCAAAUUUUUUCAAAGGUGGGACCUGAGACUCGAACCAGGAUCCUCCAGCGUGGAAAGCCGAAGCAAUUCAAGCAGUUUUAUAACAACUUUAAGAAAAUCGCGUCAGGUGAUAUCUCGCGACAGAAUAUAAUAGUUCACGUGUAAUUUAAUGAUCACUUUGUAUUUGUUAGUGUGUUCUUGCUGUCUCUAUAUUUGUUUCAAGCGAUUUCAUUUAAACCAAAAUACAAAGGCCGGAUGGCCGAGUGGUAACGGUCUCGGCGUGCCACGCAGGAGGACCCCAGUUCACAUCCCGGGUCUGGUGACUUCUGAAAAGUUCUUUCGGGGUGCUGGGCCCGGCCCGGCGAUCUCCGUCCUUCACCAUCCAGCCCCCUCCAUGGGUGUGGGUGCAGUCCGUGAUU